AAUCGGAUGCCGCUGAGCCGCAACCAACCGCGGCGAGCCGGGGGCUGGGCUGCAGCUGGAUGCAGCUGGGCGCGGGAGCGUGGGGCCGAGGCGUGUGCCCGCCUGUCCCACUCCGCCCCGGCCGGGCUACCGGGUCCAGCGCCCCCCGCCGGGAGCUCGCAGCGUGUUGCCGCCCACCUCGGCCUCGGUUCACGGGCCCAUGCAAUGGGCCGAAGCUGGGCCCAGAAAUGGGCAUUUCUUGAGCCCUCAGCGUUAAGCGCCCACUGUGUACAAGGAACGCGAGGGAAGGGCGCCGGCCCAGGGCGGGGGCCGAGGCCAGGGAGUGUUUGGCCCGCGCUUUGUACGUCGCUCUCUAGGGAGGGCCGGUGGACCGUGGGCUGGUUUAUCAAGCCCUACUGUGUGCAGAGGUUUCGGUGUGUGUUCAUCGACUGUGUGCCAUCUCUGUGCUGUGCGCCCAAAGAAACCUCGAGCCUGCCCCGCAUUUCCACCCAGUUCACGUUCUCCCGACGAAGAGGACGGUACACUAGUGAAAAUGACAGCUGGGGUCACUAUGAGAUGUGCUGAGCGCUUAAUAUCUGUCCAAGAGCGCUUGUGGUGGGCAAUGAGCUUGCAGUCCCUGUCUCUCACAUCAGAGAGCAAGCUCCUGAGAGCAGAGAACAGCUUUGCCGACAGCUGAGCCCUGUGCCAGGAUCGGGACUGGGACAUGGUGGAGCUCACCUCCAAACGGGAUAGGGUGGCUGGUUACUGCUGGUAUCCGGAGACCCUCUCAGUGGCCAGCACCAGAUGGCUGAUGGACAGACUGCCUGAGAUAACUCAUUCCUUCAUUUAUUCACUGAACACGUGUAUUAAACACCAAUCUGACCCAGGAAAACAGCAGGGAACAUGAACAUGACAGAAUCCUUGCUGUUUUGGGAGGUGGGGGUGGAGGUUAGGGAAGUCCUGUUCAAGAAAAUGACAUUGGAUCCAAGACCUAAAAAACAUGGGAGAGCCGCUAACUUGAAAUCAGCUGGGCAGUCCUUUCCUUGUGGGGAUUUGAGUAGAGGAAUGACAUGAUCUGACUUAGUUUUUUUUUUUUGAGAUGGAGUCUUGCUCUGUCACCAUGCUGGAGUGCAGUGGCAUGAUCUUGACUCACUGCAACCUCUGCCUCCUGGGUUCAAGCCAUCCUCCUGCCUCAGCCUCCCAAGUAGCUGGGACUACAGGAACACCACCAUGCCCAGCUAAUUUUUGUAUUUUUAGUAGAGACGGGGUUUUGACAUGUUGUCCAGGAUGGUCUUGAUCACUUGACCUUGUGAUCCGCCCACCUCGGCCUCCCAGGGUGCUGGGAUUAUAGUCAUGAGCCACUGUGCGCAGCCUAUGUCCUUUGUUUUAUGAGAUAAAAAUUUCAUACCUUUUAAAGUAAACCCUAUUAAAGCAAAUUCUCUGGUUUUUAGUAUAUCCACAAAGUUGUGUGAUCAUCAUGACUAUCUAGCUCCAGAACAUUUUCAGUACCCCCAAAAGAAAUCCCAUGUUCAUGAUCAAUUACUCCCUACUUCCCUCUUUCCUCAGCCCCUGUUUGUUUGUUCCCCAAACAAACAAAUCCCUUGCCCUUUUUCAAAUUCAGUUAUUGGUAUUUUUCUUGAAUUGUAAGAGUUCAUAUAUUAUGGAUAUUAAUCCUUUAUCAGAUAUAGAAUUUAUAACAUAUUUUCUCUCAUUCUAUUGGAUGUCUUAUAACUCUUUUUUUUUUUUUUUUUGAGAUGAAGUUUUGCUCUGGUUGCCUAGGCUGCAGUGUCACUGAGGCAGGAGGAUCACUUGAGCCUAAGUGAGUCACUACAGUGAGUCAUGAUUAUGCCACUGUAUUUCAGCCAGAAAGACAAAUAGAGAGAGCUACUCCCAAGUAGCUCAGAUUACAGGGACACAGCACCAUGCCUGGUUAAUUUAUUUUUUGUAGAGAUGGGGUCUCACUAUGUUGCCCAGGCUGGUCUUGAACUCCUGGGCUCAAGUGAACCUCCCCAGCUUCCCAAAGUGCUGGGAUUACAGGUGUGAGACACUGCGCCUGGCCUCCGAGUGGUACAUUUGUUAACUGACAAACCUACACUGACACUCCAUUAUCACUGAAAGUUCAUAAUUUGCAUUAGGGUUCAGUCUUGGUGUAUAUUCUGCAGGCUUGGGGAACCGUGCAAUGACAUGGAUCCACCGUUGUAGCUAUCAGACAGAGUAGUUUCACUGCCCUAAAAAUCCUCUGUUGCAGCCGGGUGCGGUGGCUCAGGUCUAUAAUCCCAGCACUUGGGGAGGCUGAGGCAGGCAGAUCACAAGGUCAAGAGAUUGAGACCAUCCUGGCCAACGUGGUGAAACCCCAUCUCUACCAAAAAUACAAAAAUUAGCCGGGUGUUGUGGUGGGCACCUGUAGUCCCAGCUACUCGGGAGGCCGAGGCAGGAGGAUCACUUGAACCUGGGAGGCAGAGGUUGCAGUGAGCCAAGAUCGCACCACUGCACUCCAGCCUGGUGACAGAGGGAGACUCUGUUUCAAAAAAAAAAUAAAAAAUCCUCUGUUGCAGAUGCAUUUUAAUCAGACUGAAUAUGUGGGCUGCUAAGUAGUGGGCUAGGAGCCCACGGAAAUUUAAAAAAACCCAGGCCAUAGCCUGGUAGUAGGACCAGGGGGCCUCAGAGAGUAUACCAGGCUGUGAGAAGAGCCUCAGAGGCAGCAGGGAUGGCCAUGUGGGGAGGAUGUUGGGGGCUCCUGAGAGGCUGUGUGUGCCCAGGAGAGCCACCUGCAACCUGAGCUGGUCACUGAGCACAACUCCUCACCCCCAGCAGGGCCUCCUACCCAGCAGGAAGUGCCCCGGGCAGUGCUCUGGCCCUGUUUCGGAAGGUGUGUACAGGAAGGCUUCCUUCCCUGGGGUGGAGUGUGUCCCGGAGGGGCUGACCAGAACCAGAUGUUGCAUGUCUGGGCUAUGGCACAGCUGUCCCCAAACCAAACUUCCUCUUUUCCCCACAAUGUUCAUUUUGAAACAUUUGGUUGUACCUGUAAGUUACAGGCAUGUGGAUAUCUGUUUCUGGCUGCCCACAUCCAUUCCCCCUCCUUCAUAGAAAUACUACCCUGAAUUUUUGGAGGACUCUCUCUUGCUGCCCAUUCUCAGCCCCUGAAUUUAGCACAAGCCUAGCAACAUUGUCCAGUCCCCCGGAAUGCAAAGAUUGGUUCAGAGAUGAGGAUGUGACUUCAGAUGAUCCAAUCAUAGUGGACUUCAGGAUCCUGGUAUGAAAUUGGGAUGUGAAUAAGGAAGCAAGUCUCAUCAGAAUCUGCUGGCAGCCAUGAGGACAUGAUCCUCAGGGAAGAGGAAAUUUGGACACAAAUAGAGAAGGUGCGGCCAUCUACAAGCUGUGGAGAGCGGCUGCGGGAGAAACCAGCCCCACUGAUACAACAAUCUCUGUUGUUUAAGCCACGGAGUCUGCAGUACUCUGUUACUGUGAGCCCCGAAAGCUGACAUGGGGGUGACAUGAGAGUACAGUGGGCACACAGAAGGCCCUCAGUGGAGGCUGGUUUCUUCAGCCCAGUGUCACAUGGAGCUCAUCCACUGGCUGAGCUGGGGGUCUGAUCGUGGCCACUCAACGUCUCUGCAGAGCUCAGGGUCUGCCCUGAGAUCCUGCACUUACCACAGAGUGGCCCUGCCUUGGGCCCCCAUCUCACUUCACUUCUGCCCUCCUUCCUGGUUCAUGACUCGGCCAUCCACAAACCUCCCGUGGUAGCACUGUGGCCACUCUGUAAAUGACAGCACCGCUGGUGUCUCACUGGGGUCCAGUCUGGAAGAGAGAAACCACUCCAGGCAUUUCAACAGAAGGGACGGGAUACAGAGCAUCACUUCCACAGAGGAUGGAUGAGCCCAGAUGCAGAAAAGCCAAGGAAGAAAAUUCUGACGCAGACCACAACGCGGAUGGACCUUGAAAACACUGUGCUAAGUGAAAGAAGCCCCACACAGAAGGAAAUGUUGUAAGAGGUUGGACUGCAGUGGUACAAUCCAAGCUUGCUACAGCUUCGACUUCCGGAUUCUAGCAAUUCCUUAUCCACCUCGGCCUCCCAAGUAGUUGGGACUACAGGUGAGGCGCAUUCAUUUCCCCUUGUGAAGGGGCUGGGCUUAUGACUUGAUUCUAAAGAACAGAACGUGGUAGAAGUGAUGGUGCGUCUGAAGACGUCACAAAGGCACUUUGCUUUCUCCUUGCUCUCUCUCUGGGGGAAGACAGCUUCCAUGUCGCGAGGACCCUCAGCAGCCCUGUGAAGACGUUCACGUAGUGAGUAGCUGAGGCCUCCCGCCAGUAGCCGCAGGAGUGCGCCAUCUUGCGGUAGAUCCUUCAGCUUAGACCUGCCAAUCCAGUAGCCACUAAGCACACGUGGCUUUUGAGCAUUUGCAGCGCGGCUGGUCCCAGCUGGAAUGUACACACCGGGUUUUAAAGACAGCAUAACAAAAAGAAUGUCAAGUAUCUAAUAUUUUUGAAUAUUGAUAGCAAGUUGAAGUGGGUUAAAUAAAAAUGUACUAUUAAAUGAA